rnacentral:rRNA from 1 species
CUACGGGGCGCAGCAGUGGGGAAUAUUGCACAAUGGAGGAAACUCUGAUGCAGCAACGCCGCGUGGAGGAUGACACUUUUCGGAGCGUAAACUCCUUUUAUAUAGGAAGAAGAUGACGGUACUAUAUGAAUAAGCGCCGGCUAACUCCGUGCCAGCAGCCGCGCUAAUACGGAGGGCGCAAGCGUUACUCGGAAUCACUGGGCGUAAAGAGAGUGUAGGCGGAUUAAAAAGUCAGAAGUGAAAUACUAUAGCUUAACUAUAGAACUGCUUCUGAAACUCUUAAUCUAGAAUAUGGGAGAGGUAGAUGGAAUUUCUGGUGUAGGGGUAAAAUCCGUAGAGAUCAGAAGGAAUACCGAUUGCGAAGGCGAUCUACUAGAACAUUAUUGACGCUGAGACGCGAAAGCGUGGGGAGCAAACAGGAUUAGAUACCCGGGUAGUC